UACGUAGGGGGCAAGCGUUAUCCGGAUUUACUGGGUGUAAAGGGAGCGUAGACGGUAAUGCAAGUCUGGAGUGAAAACCCGGGGCUCAACCCCGGGACUGCUUUGGAAACUGUAUAACUGGAGUGCCGGAGAGGUAAGCGGAAUUCCUAGUGUAGCGGUGAAAUGCGUAGAUAUUAGGAGGAACACCAGUGGCGAAGGCGGCUUACUGGACGGUAACUGACGUUGAGGCUCGAAAGCGUGGGGAGCAAACGGG
rnacentral:rRNA from 1 species